CUUAGCCCAUAAUAAAUAUAAUAAAUAUAUGUGUAACUUUCAAUAGUUGAUAAAUGUUAAGAGUCUUUUGCAUUUGUACUAUUUAUAUUAUAUGUACUAAAAGAAUUUUUGAAGGAUUUUGUAGCCCAUAAUAAAUAUAAUAAAUAUAUGUGUAACUUUCAAAAGUUUAUACAUGUUAAGAGUCUUAUACAUUUUUACUAUUUAUAUUUUAGUUUAUUGAAACUGUUUCUUUGACAUUCAUUAAUCUUAAACUUGUUUGGCUUAUGUUUACAGUUCCUAAAAAUUAUAUUAGCAUUGUUAAUAUUGAAAUACUUCUUCCUUGCAACCAAUACUUGUUUUGUGAGGGUGGAUACUCCAACCUGCAUCUUGUAAUGUGGUUGGAGAAGACUGAGAGGAAGGGGGGAGGGAGGGGCGUUAAGCGUGUCAUCGUUCCGCCCCUAAUGUCAAUUUAUGCACCACUUGUAUAUUCUGUUAAGUAAAAAAAUAUAAUUUAAAGUCUUUAACACAAAAUAUAAUCAGUGUUUUUUAGGCUCAAAUAUUUAUAAGAUGGUAACAUUUCACUACAAGGGUGUUAAAACAUAACAAAUACAUCCACCCUUUAAUCUAAAAUAGACCAAUAAUAUUUGGAAAAGUAAUGGAAGCAAAUUAGAACAACUUUUUGUGUAUAAAGAUAACAAAUUUUAUCAGCAAAAUACUCUUUCGUGU